ACUCAAAUGAAUAGACGGGGGCCCGCACAAGCGGUGGAGCAUGUGGUUCAAUUCGAAGCAACGCGCAGAACCUUACCAACCCUUGACAUGUCCAGUAUGGGUUUCAGAGAUGAGACCCUUCAGUUCGGCUGGCUGGAACACAGGUGCUGCAUGGCUGUCGUCAGCUCGUGUCGUGAGAUGUUGGGUUAAGUCCCGCAACGAGCGCAACCCUCGCCCUUAGUUGCCAUCAUUCAGUUGGGCACUCUAGGGGGACUGCCGGUGAUAAGCCGCGAGGAAGGUGGGGAUGACGUCAAGUCCUCAUGGCCCUUACGGGUUGGGCUACACACGUGCUACAAUGGCGGUGACAAUGGGACGCAAAGGCGCGAGCCUUAGCUAAUCUCAAAAAGCCGUCUCAGUUCGGACUGGGGUCUGCAACUCGACCCCACGAAGUCGGAAUCGCUAGUAAUCGUGGAUCAGCAUGCCACGGUGAAUACGUUCCCGGGCCUUGUACACACCGCCCGU
rnacentral:rRNA from 1 species